rnacentral:rRNA from 1 species
UACGUAGGGGGCAAGCGUUGUCCGGAAUCAUUGGGCGUAAAGAGCGUGUAGGCGGCUUGGUAAGUCCGCUGUGAAAGUCCAGGGCUCAACCCUGGAAAGCCGGUGGAAACUGUCAAGCUUGAGUCCGGAAGAGGCGAGUGGAAUUCCUGGUGUAGCGGUGAAAUGCGCAGAUAUCAGGAGGAACACCAAUGGCGAAGGCAGCUCGCUGGGACGGUACUGACGCUGAGGAGCGAAAGUGUGGGGAGCGAACAGG